GACCACGUAGCUCAGUUGGCAGAGCAUUAGACUAGUAUUCCAAAGGUCGCGGGUUCGAUUCCCACCGUGGCCA
rnacentral:tRNA from 1 species